AUGAAAGCCACUGAGGACAUUACAAAAACGUAGAGUUUUCAUCCACAAGCUAAUUGUUUGAAUGGCUAAAUAACUGACCAGUGCACCAGGGGUACUUGCUACUGUGAUUCCUGAAAUGCAGAGCCUAACAAGUUGAGAGCCCGACUGACUUCUUAGAUCAGGUGCCCCCUAAGCAACCGCUUAUGUCGCUAAUGCCUGGAGCUGGCCCUGGAAAGGACUCAGCCAUGUCUAAUUUGCACUGUCAUACUUCUGAGUCUUCAGCCAUGUCCAAAUACAGAUCCCAAAUCUGGUAGGACUGGAACAGUAGGACCGAGAAGACCACCAGGACCAGAAGGGCCAAGUGGUUUCUGUGGCAUCGCCACAAAAUCUGCCAUGCGGCUGGGCUACAACUACCCCCGAACCAUGCCACCCCAUAUAAUUCCGUGAGGUCAUGGACAGAACAAAGUUUGAGUUUCAUUGCAUCAUAUACCAGAAUGUGGGCAACAUGGAACUGCUGAAAAAACGGCCAGAUGGUGCUGCCCUCCUUCACCACCCAGCAGAAUGGCUACAUCACAGCCACAGGAGGCACACCGCUGCAGGUCAAAAAGGGGGGUGAGAUCUGCCUGUCAGCUAACUAUGGUGGCAACGGCAUGACCUCUGACAGCUUCUCUCAGGGCACCUGAUCUUCACUGUCUGGAGCCCAUUCUGACCUGGACACUGAUCCCAAAACACAACCACUCUGACACACAGGUUAGAACUAAGCUAAGGUUCUGUAUUUUAAAAGAGAGAUAUUUUAUUUUUCUUUCAAAAGACUCUUUUAACUAAUGUUAAUCUUUAUCACAUAUACAAUGAAAAGAGAGGUCAAUUGACUGUUUUGUUAUAUUUGCACUGAAGUUUGUUAUACUUGCACAUGAGUGGGAGAGUCAUUGCAUGCCACAUGUGUCUCUCUUUCUCUUUCCUCUAUCUUUCACGUUUUUUCACCAAACCAACACCAAUGCCUAAACAGUGUAUCUGUGUGUUGACCCAAUCCCUCUACCCCCCCAAACCCAAUUAUUGUUGUUAGAUUAAAUUAAUCUUACCACAUCAGGGAAAUGCAAUGUGAUAACUUUUUGAUUGUUAAUUGCAUUAUUUCUUCUAAUUAUUGGUAUGUGUUUUCCUUCUUAUGAACUUUAAGGCUAAUUAAAUUAUAUAGUUUAGGUCUUGCACAUAAAACACAUAGGAACAAAAUCUAACUUAAUAUGUGCUAAUUAUGAGUUUUUGGGUGAUGGUGAAAUUAUGACAAAUAAGAACAAACUCAAAACUAUGCUCAGGGAGCCUACCUGCUGCAUUGGGUCGGGCAAACCAUUGAAUUCUAAAGCUAAAGACUGAAUAUUUAUGUAGUAAACUUCAGAUGUAAAUUAUUAUAAAGAAAAUACUUUAAAACUAGAUGUUGUAUUUUCACAUAUACCGGAUAGGUGCAGUGAAAUGUAUUGUUUUACAAGAUCAGCCAUAGUAAUACGGUGCCCCAGAAGCAAAUUAGGGUUAAGUGCCUUGCUAAGGGGCACAGCAACACAUUUUUUCAACUUGUCGGCUUGGCCCUUCAAAUCUGUUUUUGAUAAACAAUUAUAUUCUGACUGUUUCAUCUUUCGAAAAAAUGAAUACAAAUAAAUACAACAAUAAAAUAACUCAUGCACAUACUCUGUGCUUUCUGUCACCUCAA